UACGAAGGGUGCUAGCGUUGUUCGGAAUUAUUGGGUGUAAAGGGUGUGUAGGUUGUUUGAUAAGUUAAUUGUGAAAUCCCAGAGCUUAACUUUGGAACUGCAGUUAAUACUAUUGAACUAGAGUGUGAUAGGAGAUGGCAGAAUUUCUAGUGUAGGGGUAAAAUCCGCAGAGAUUCGAAAGAAUACCAAUGGUGUAGACAGCUAUCUUGGUCAUAACUGACACUGAAACACGAAAGUGUGGGGAGCAAAC
rnacentral:rRNA from 1 species